GUGCCAGCAGCCGCGGUAAUACGUAGGGCGCAAGCGUUGUCCGGAAUUAUUGGGCGUAAAGAGCUCGUAGGUGGCUUGUCGCGUCUGUCGUGAAAGCCCGGGGCUUAACUCCGGGUCUGCGGUGGAUACGGGCAGGCUAGAGGCAGGUAGGGGAGAAUGGAAUUCCCGGUGUAGCGGUGAAAUGCGCAGAUAUCGGGAGGAACACCGGUGGCGAAGGCGGUUCUCUGGGCCUGUACUGACGCUGAGGAGCGAAAGCGUGGGGAGCGAACAGGAUUAGAUACCCGUGUAGUCC
rnacentral:rRNA from 1 species